rnacentral:RNase_P_RNA from 1 species
UUCGGGGAGGAAAGUCCGGGCAACACAGGGCACCAUACUUCCUAACGGGAAGCUGUUCGCGAGAGCAGAUUAGCGUAACAGAAAACAACCGUUCCGGCUUGCCGGAAUAAGGGUGAAAAGGUGAGGUAAGAGCUCACCGGAUAUCGCAGCAAUGCGGUAUGCCGUACGCAUUAUGGGUUGCAAGGCCGUGUAUAUCGGAUAGCUGUAGGGUUGCCCGCCCGAUGCCGAGGGGUAGGCCGCUAAAGAGCGAUGGCGACAUCGUCUCGUAGAUAAAUGACAGACAUCCCGACUUGUCGGGAGACAGAACCCGGCUUAUAGACCGACUGCUUUU